rnacentral:lncRNA from 1 species
AGAGGAGGAAAGCUGAGCAAGUAAGAGGAGUCUGUCUCUCAUAGCAAACCACCAGUGGACAGGGUCAUGUGAGGUAGGAAUGGGAGGAAGUUCUUUGUAGAGUCCAAUUUCUUUAUGGACUCUUUCUUGGACAGUCAUUCCAUCCUGUUGCUUUUGGAGGAGCUUCCUUUGCAGCGCUUGGUCUUCAUCAGCGAAAAGGUUUGGGAAACUGAAACACAAAAGCAUACAGAAGAGCAUAGGGAUGGUUAAGUCAUGAAGUCAGUGUAUUGUUUUUCGACAGAGAACUAAUGUAGGGUUGGUUAUAGAAAUUAGGUUAAGUGAAUUUGUCAGAAAGGAGUGAUCAUAAGACAGGAGGAAGCUUUGAUUUAUAAUAUUGCCUGCCUGUAUACCAGCUUUGAAUACUUUUGAAUCCUCAUCUUAUAAAACCUUACCUAAACCGUGGACAGUCCAUGACUUAGAAUGACUGCCUCCUUUUUUUCCACAAAUUGUGUAGCUUUCUGGUGACAUUCCUCAAUGUCCUCCUUUGCCAUCUUCCCUGCUUGGCCAAAAUGAACUGAGUUACUGCCAUAAGUGGUGGAGGUUCAACACCACAAUGAAUGCUCCUGUCUGAAUGACUGGCGGUGAUGUUUGAGGCAGCGCCGGUAGCUGCGUACAGAAAAAAAAAAAAGUGUUUAAGGUUAGCUACCAUCAUUAACGUUAGCUAGCCACAGAAGCAAGGUUCUUGUUUAGUACCUCUGAGUCGCUUCAAAGGAGCUUAUCAGAGCUUAACUACAAGGCAAAGUCAAUAAUAUUAUAGUAUAAAUUAAUAAUAUAGCAAGUGAACAUUAGCGAUUGCUAGCUAGCUACCGUAGAUAACGCUAAAACAGUAUUUAUGGGUCAGCUAAUAUUAGCCAUUAUUUUUACACCAUUUAGAUUGAUAAUGUUAGCUAGCACUGAUCUCGACAUGACCGGGGGUGGAUGGUGGUGGGGACGAGCUAGCCAGACCCAGAGAUGGAGCUGUGGGAGCUGCGCUGCUGGUGCUAGCCUUUUGAAAACAAUUGAAGACACCACACUCUUUCAUGGUAAUGUUGUUGGUUAUCUUGCAGAGAACUGAUUUUGGCAAAUGUUGCAUGCAGCAGAGUCUGGUGUACUUUUAGAAAAGUGUACCCAAACUUUUGACUUAGCUCGCUGGGUCACCAUUUUGGUAUCUUGCUAGGUAGGCUGUGAAAGAAAUGAGUGCAGGGAGGGGCAUGGGCGGCCGUCAAGACGACACGCAAGAGUGCAUCCUGGAGUGUUUGAGUUUAACAGUGCUCAAGUACCGAUGUUACGUGGCACUGAUGCUAAAAAAUACCAGUCAAGACCACCCAUCCCUAGACACAGACCGCAUGCUUGAGGAUUAUAGCCUUCGACUUGAUCACUUGAAAAACCCAGGAGACAAAAAUUUUCCGUAAAUUAAUCAUGAUAGCAAGACAGAGGUAGGUUUUGGUUUUCAAUGACUGUCUCACAAAAUGCUGCAAGGGUUGAAUGAAAUGACACAUCAGUCAGCUCUCACAGUCACUCCUUUCUGAUUGGUGGCCUGUUUUACUGUCUUGUAGAUGGGUUAGAGAAGGGUUUAGAAGAUUCCCUUAGCUAUUUUGACUCCUUAUAGCCAUGAUGCCUUAUAGCCUUAUAGGCAUUUUUCUGUUACUUAAUCGUCAAAAAAAGAUCAUCUGCUAUGGAGUAAUAGCAUCAAACCGGUAGACCACACACGUUUUCUAAUCAAUCUUUGGGAUAUGAACACCGCAGAGGAAUGGGCUGAUUUAUCCUGUCCAAUGAAAUCUUGUGUAAAAUGUAAGUCACUGAGGUUCCUGGAGACCACCAUCAUCACCAGCUGUUCCAGGUGCCAGAUAUGAGCAUUUGUCUAAUUAAGAGUCCAACAGAGAUUUCACUCCUAAGGGAGUGAAGGCAGCACAAUGCUUUAUGAUUAAUCCCAAUUUUACAGAUCAGUAGUUUAAGGUCUAGUCAUUUAAAACCCACCAUGCGGAAAGUAAUGGAUUAAAUUCUAAAUCUUGUUUGGGAACUUUUUCUUUGUCUUUUUUUCCAUUAAGAGUCACCGUGGCCCCUUAACAAUGUUACUUUCAAUAAAUACAUUGGUGGAGUAGUACAACUGUAAAAAGUAUUUUUAAAGUAACAAAAGUACACUGAACUUCUUUCUGACAUUGUACUUUAUUAUUGUUUAACUCGGUUCACUUCCGAAGGUAGCUGUUCAAACUAGUUCACACGACUCAAUGCUGACGAGACUUGACUUCAGUUGAGCAAUGGCACCCCAGACACCUGAAUUCUUUGCUCCACUGGGAAGCUGCAUACACCUCUGCUUUUCUACCACCUUUUACCAAAGUCUACAAAGACCCUGAAAGCCUUUUAACAAGUGAAAAGAGGCAGAAAGUCUGACGUCUGUUUUUUUUUUUUUUUUAAGUUGAACGUGGGAGCAGUGUCAGUCAGCCGGUACCAUGCGACUUGUUCAGAAAGAGCAAGGGAGCGUGGGUGACAUCUCUUUCUGUCUCACUCUUUCACUCUCACUCAUUCUCCGUGUCAAUUUCCCCUCCUCUCUCAAUCUAGUUCUCUUUCUCUGACUAAACCGGGCUGUGAUGACUCUGUGACAGCUCCACAAAAAAGGACCAUUUUGAAGUUGAAAUGUGGGGUUCUUGUCAAGGGGA